rnacentral:rRNA from 1 species
UUUAUCGGAGAGUUUGAUCCUGGCUCAGGACGAACGCUGGCGGCGUGCCUAAUACAUGCAAGUCGAGCGGACAGAUGGGAGCUUGCUCCCUGAUGUUAGCGGCGGACGGGUGAGUAACACGUGGGUAACCUACCUGUAAGACUGGGAUAACUCCGGGAAACCGGGGCUAAUACCGGAUGGUUGUUUGAACCGCAUGGUUCAAACAUAAAAGGUGGCU